rnacentral:rRNA from 1 species
UAAGCGGAGGAAAAGAAACUAACAAGGAUUCCCCUAGUAACUGCGAGUGAAGCGGGAAAAGCUCAAAUUUAAAAUCUGGUGGUCUUUGGCCAUCCGAGUUGUAAUUUAGAGAAGCGUCUUCCGCGCUGGACCGUGCACAAGUCUCCUGGAAUGGAGCGUCAUAGAGGGUGAGAAUCCCGUCUUUGGCACGGACACACCAGGGCUUUUGUGAUGCGCUCUCAAAGAGUCGAGUUGUUUGGGAAUGCAGCUCAAAAUGGGUGGUGAACUCCAUCUAAAGCUAAAUAUUGGCGAGAGACCGAUAGCGAACAAGUACCGUGAGGGAAAGAUGAAAAGCACUUUGGAAAGAGAGUGAAACAGUACGUGAAAUUGUUGAAAGGGAAACGCUUGAAGUCAGUCGCGUCGACCGAGACUCAGCCUUGCCUCGGCUUGGUGUACUUCUCGGCCUGACGGGUCAGCAUCAAUUUUGCCCCUUGGAUAAUGGCGAGGGAAAUGUGACACCUUUACGGUGUGUUAUAGUCCCUUGUCGCAUGCAAGGGUUGGGAUUGAGGAACUCAGCACGCGCCUUUGGGUGUCGGGGCUUUGCCCACGAUACGUGCUUAGGAUGNUGGCGUAAUGGCUUUAAACGANC